CAGGUAGGACUACCCGCUGAACUUAAGCAUAUCAAUAAGCGGAGGAAAAGAAACUAACAAGGAUUCCCCUAGUAACUGCGAGUGAAGCGGGAAAAGCUCAAAUUUUAAAUCUGGCAGUCUCUGGCUGUCCGAGUUGUAAUCUAGAGAAGUGUUAUCCGC
rnacentral:rRNA from 1 species